AGUAACGCGUGAGGAACCUGCCUUCCANAGGGGGACAACAGUUGGAAACGACUGCUAAUACCGCAUAAUGUGUUUUGAUGGCAUCAUUGAGACACCAAAGAUUUAUCGCUGGAAGAUGGCCUCGCGUCUGAUUAGCUAGUAGGCGGGGUAACGGCCCACCUAGGCGACGAUCAGUAGCCGGACUGAGAGGUUGACCGGCCACAUUGGGACUGAGAUACGGCCCAGACUCCUACGGGAGGCAGCAG
rnacentral:rRNA from 1 species